GCCGAGUGCCUGUCACACUUCGGUGGCCUUGGCUAGUGAAUGCACGACUCCCUCCGAGUGCUGGGAUCAAAUGCCACGUUUACGGUUUGCCCAUAAGAGAGUCUUAGUGCUGGGCCGAAAACUCCGUGUAGAUGGAGUUUUUGCCCAAGCGUUAACGCGAGGGUACUGCCUCAGGCCGGCAACGGAACAGGGUUACCUCCUGCUAGGACUGGUCUAUGGACUACGAACUGGAGUGGUACCUAGUAACGAAGAGUAGGAUCGUGUGGACACUAGCCCU
rnacentral:SRP_RNA from 1 species